rnacentral:lncRNA from 1 species
CAGGGUUGCAAUGCACUCUUUAAAGAAAGUAUUUAUUGAUUGUUCCUUUAUACAUGAUAACGCUGUUAUGCUGCUCUUUGUUUGCCUCUGUAUUUUGACUCUCCGCUUUAUUGGUACCUAUGGAUGAGUUUGUUUUUAUGGGUGGUCAUUAUACUACUUUUACGUGUAUACGUUAUCAUCUGCCUUCUGCUUCCUAUGUGCAUGCCA